rnacentral:rRNA from 1 species
AUCCUACGGGGGGCAGCAGUAGGGAAUCUUCCACAAUGGACGAAAGUCUGAUGGAGCAACGCCGCGUGAGUGAAGAAGGGUUUCGGCUCGUAAAGCUCUGUUGGUAGUGAAGAAAGAUAGAGGUAGUAACUGGCCUUUAUUUGACGGUAAUUACUUAGAAAGUCACGGCUAACUACGUGCCAGCAGCCGCGGUAAUACGUAGGUGGCAAGCGUUGUCCGGAUUUAUUGGGCGUAAAGCGAGUGCAGGCGGUUCCAAAAAUCUUAUGUUAAAACCUUCGGGCCAACCCG